ACAGAUGCUUCAGAACAAUUAGAGGACGUGAAACAGCCAGAAUUCUACCUGAACAAGGGCACAGCUAACAACUUCAUCAAACGGCUAAAGAGAUCGGUAGAAAUCUCAGAUAUACUAGAAAGCAUUACUGAACGGGUGGAAGGGGCGUGGGAGAAAGUGAAGGAGGUUUUUGAGGAAAUAACAGAUAUAGAAAUUCUCGAUCAGUGAGGAGAUGGAUGAUACCAACCAGACCUUGCAAUCCCACCUGCUGCUCUGUCAGCUUCAACGCAAGAUUUCAAUCGUAUUUCACUGGGUCAGAUAUUGGCUGAACUCAGAACCUGUAUAUAACACACAGUGUGCUGUAUAGUCACUAUAGCCAAUGAACUCAGACUCUGUAUCACACACAGUAUACUAUAUACCUACUGUCCACGCUGAAUUCAGAAUCUGUAUUGCCACAGGUUUAUAUAACGUUGAUUUUAAUAAAAAUUCUGUUUUCUGUG